rnacentral:rRNA from 1 species
UACGGGGGGGGCAAGCGUUGUUCGGAAUUACUGGGCGUAAAGGGCUUGUAGGUGGCCAACUAAGUCAGACGUGAAAUCCCUCAGCUUAACUGGGGAACUGCGUCUGAUACUGGAUGGCUUGAGUUUGGGAGAGGGAUGCGGAAUUCCAGGUGUAACGGUGAAAUGCGUAGAUAUCUGGAGGAACACCGGUGGCGAAGGCGGCAUCCUGGACCAACACUGACACUGAGGAGCGAAAGCCAGGGGAGCAAACGGG